CAUUAUCUUUCGAAAGAUUCAAGGACGUUCCAGGAGUGACCAGUACCAUUGAAGACUUUGCUGAGCGAGGCAAGCAACCUACUUUGAUCAUGUUGAACCCAUAUAUGCAUUACACUUAGAAUUAUUUUUCAUCCAUAAAGUAUUGUUUACUAGUAUUGCUAUUAAGUAAAUUAGCUAGGGUUUAGCUAUGCCCUAUGUGCUUGAUAUUGACACCCCUUUGACAUUCUUAUGCUAACUAAAUUAGCUAGGGUUUAGCUAUGCUUUAUGUGCUUGAUAUUUGACACCCUCCUUUGAUGAUACCCCUCCUUCCUAACCAUGUAGUGGUCACAAAUAAAUGUGGGUCAUAUGUGCAAGUUUAAUAGUAAUGCUUAGCCAUGCUAGUCACAUAAAUCAUAGGACUUGGGAAGAAUCUUUGUUACUCAUAAAUGUUUUACAAAAACCCAAGGGUGUCACUAAUGCCCAUGGUAUGAUUCUGAAAAUAAGGUUAUAUAAAAUGGAGAUUUAGUUAGGUGAUUGUGAUCUUUGACGAGAUAGUCAGUUCGGUGGAUUAUAAAAAUUUAUGUAUAGUAAAUGAGCAUGGUGGUUAUUGUAUUGGCGGAUAAAUGGAACUUCAAUUAACUUGAAGCAAUUUGGAUUUAGUAAGGCGAUUACGAUCUUGAACCAAAUUUCAUGGUGGAUUAGAAGUUUUUGAUGCAUUUAUUUAGUUCAUUGUGAUCUUGAGGAGAUAGUCAAAGAUGUCCGGUGGAUUAAUUAAUCUAGGACAAUUUGUAUUUAGUUAGGUGAUUGUGAUAUUGAACUGUAUUUCAUGAUAAAUUAUGAGAUUUUAGGUGGAUUUAGUUACGUGAUUUAAUCUUGAGAAGAUAGUCUAAAAUGAUCGGUUGAUUAUGAGAUUUUAGGUAUGGUAGAUGAGCAUGGUGAUUAUUAUAUUGGUGGAUAGAUAGAUCUUUAAUUUUGUUUGGAACAUUUUGAAUUUAGUUAGGUGAUUGUGAUCUUAAACCAAAUUUCACGAUGAAUUAUGAGGUUUUGGUUGGGUUUAGUUAGGUGAUUGUGAUCUUGACGAGCUAAUAAAAGAUGUUUGGUGGAUUAUGUGAAUUUAGGUCUAGUAGGUGAGCAUGGUGGUUAUUAUAUCGGUGAAUAGGUAAAUUUUUAAUAAACUUGAGAAAAUUUGGAUUUAGUUAGGCGAUUGUGAUCUUUGAACUAAAUUUCAUGGUGGAUUACGAUCUUUUAGAUGGAUUUAGUCAGUUGAUUGUGAUCUGGAGGAGAUACUCAAAGAUAUUCGAUGGAUUAAAUAUCCUUGAAUAAUUUGAAUUUCGUUAGGCUAUUGUGAUAUUGAACUGUAUUUCACGAUGAUUUAUGUGAUUUUAGGUGGAUUUAAUUAUGUUAUUAUGAUCUUGAGAAGAUGGCAAAGAUGUUAGUGGAUUUUAAGAUUUUAGGUCUAGUAUGUGAGCAUGGGGACUAUUAUAUUGGUGGAUAGACAGACCUCUAAUUUAGUUUGAAACAAUUUGAAUUUUGAAUUUAGUUAGAUGAUUGUGAUAUUUUAACCAAAUUCAUGGUGGAUUUUGAUGUUUGGGUUGGAUUUAGUUAAGUGAUUGUGAUCUUGACGAGAUAGUCAAAGAUGUUCGAUGGAUUAUGUCAGAAUUUAUGUCUAGUAAGUGAGCACACUAGUUAUUGUAUUUGGUGGAUAAAUGGAUUUUUAGUUAACUUGGAGUAAUUUGGAUUUAGUUAGGCGAUUGUGAUCUUGAACCAAAUUUCAUGGUGAAUUACGAGAUUUUAAAUGAAUUUAAUUAGUUGAUUGAAAUCUUGAGAAGAUAGUCCAAGAUGUUCGGUGGAUUAAUUAAUAUUUUUUUGAACACAGUACAAGCGCAAGCGCUAUAUAAACGUGCAUACACUCACCCCUAUGAACGCACACACGCACACCCUACCGCUAUGAGCACCUCCGAGAGACUAAGCCGGCAUAUCAUCUUGAGAUUUUAUGAAGUCAUCGUAGGCGCCUUGUAGUCGAUGAGAACAAUUUGUAUGUAGUUCGGUGAUUGUGAUAUUGAACCAAAUUUCUCGGUGAUUUAUUUGAUUUUAGGUGGAUUUAGUUAGGUGAUUGAGUCUUUGAGAAGAAAGUCAAAAUGUUCAGUGGAUUAUGAGAUUUUAGGUAUGGUAAAUGAGCAAGGUGAUUAUUAUAUUAGUAGAUAAACAAAUAUUUAAAAUUUAGUUUGGAUCGAUUUGGAUUUAGGUAGGUGACUGUGAUCUUUUAACCUAAUUUUACAAUGGAUUAUGAGGUUUUGGUUGGAUUUAGUUAGGUGCUUGUGAUCUUGACAAGGUAGUCAAAGAUGUUCGGUGGAUUAAUAUGUCUAGUAAGCGAGCAUGAUGGUUAUUACAUUGGUGGAUAAAUGGAUCUUUAAUAAGCUUGAAGAUAUUUGAAUUUAGUUAGGCGAUUGUGAUCUUGAACCAAAUUUCAUGGUGGAUUACGAGAUUUUAGAUGGAUUUGAUUAGUUGAUUGCGAUUUUGAGGAAAUAGUAAAAGAUGUUCGGUGGAUGAAUUAAUCUUGAACAAUUUGGAUUUAGUUAGGUGAUUGUGAUAUUGAACCAAAUUUCUUGGUGGUUUAUGACAUUUUAGUUGGAUUUAGUUAGGUGAUUGUGUCUUCAGAGGAUAGUCAAAGAUGUUCGGUGAUUAUGAUAUUUUAGGUCUAGUCGAUGAGCAUGGUAAUUAUUAUAUUGGUGGAUAAACAGAUAUUUAAUAUAGCUUGGAACAAUUUGGAUUUAGUUAGGUGAUUGUGAUUUUAACCAAAUUUUAGGAUGGAUUAUGAGGUUUGAUUAGGAUUAGUUAGGUGAUUGGGAUCUUGACGAGCUAGUAAAAGAUGUUAGGUAGAUUAUGUGAAUUUAGGUCUAAUAGGUGAGCAUCUUGAUUAUUAUAUUGGUGGAUAAAUAUUUUUUUUAUAAACUUGGAAAAAAAUUGGAUUUAGCUAGGCGAUUGUGAUCUUGAACCAAUUUUAUGGUGGAUUAUGAGCUUUUUGAUGGAUUAGUUAGUUGAUUGUGAUCUUGAGGAGAUAGUCAAAGAUAUUCGAUGUAUUACUUAACUUGAACAAUUUGGAUUUUGUUAGGUGAUUGUGAUAUUGAACUAAAUUUCUCUGUGAUUUAUGAGAUUUUAGUUGGAUUUAGUUAGGUGAUUGUGUCUUGAGAAGAUAAUCAAAGAUGUUUAAUGGGUUAUGCGAUUUUAGGUCUAAUAAAUGAGCAUGGUGAUUAUUAUAUUGGUGGAUAAACAAAUAUUUAAUUAGUUUGAAACAAUUUGGAUUUAGUUCGGUGAUGAUGAUGAUCUUUUGACCUAAUUUUACGAUGGAUUAUAAGGUUUUGGUUGGAUUUAGUUAGGUGAUUGUGAUUUUGAUGAGCUAGUAAAAGAUGUUCAGUGGAUCAUGUGAAUUUGGGUCUAGCAAGUGAGCAUAUUGGUGGGUAGAAAUAAGGGCCACACGAGUGACUCAAGGCGAUGAUGCAACUACUGAAAAUAACUGGUAAACAAGGCAAUAGAGGCAGAGAGACUGGGGGUGAUGGCAGCAGAUGGACUUCGAGCUAGCAUCCCACCUGCCAGUGCACUCUCCGUUCCCCAUUGAUCCGGUUUGGUGUCCUUGUCCUGUUUGCGGAUUUGUGUCACGCACUUGAUUAAGCAUCCCAUGUUCUCCUAAUGUGCGCCCUUGGUCUUGACGAUAGGUAGCGCCGUGUUCUUGGGCGCGUCCCGUGGGUAAAAUUCAGGUAUGCGUCGAUUGUCUGAGCUGUUGCUCGCCAUUGUGCCGCCCAGCGAGGGAACACGGGAUGUGGGAUCAAGACAGCACACAUAGCAACCCGCCACCAGGCAACGGACGCCCAUCCGGACUUACAGGGAGUGGAGAUGGACACAAAUGUGGAUGUUGAGCUCCAUAGUAGUCUCAAGUGUGUGCUCAUCAGUAAGAGCAGCACGAGCAAGAAGGUCCUGGAUAUACUCCUCUUAGGAAAUAAAGAAGCCAUUAAAGCUCGAAGAAACCUCAAUCUUAAGGAAGUAGUGACUUUAGUAAACAUGGAGCAAUUUGGAUUUACUUAGGCGAUUGUGAUCUUGAACAAAUUUCAUGGUGAAUUACGAGAUUCUUCAAUGGAUUUAGUUGAUUGUGAUCUUGAGGAGAUAGUCAAAGAUGUUCGGUAUAUUAAUUAAUCUUGAAUAAUAUGGAUUUAAUUAGGUGAUUGUGUCUUGAGAUGAUAAUCAAAGAUGUUUCGUGGAUUAUGAGAUUUUAGGUCUAGUAGAUGAGCAUGGUGAUUAUUAUAUAGUUAGGUGAAUGUGAUUUUGACGAGCUAGUAAAAGAUGUUCGGUGAACUAUUGUGAAUUUAGGUCUAGUAGGUGAGCAUGUUGAUUAUUAUAUUGGCGGAUAAAUAAAUCUUUAAUAAAUUUUGAACAAUUUGGAUUUAGUUAGACGACUGUGUCCUUGUGAACCAAAUUUCAUGGUGGAUUAUGAGAUUUUUGAUGGAUUAGUUAGUUGAUUCUGAUCUUCAAGAGAUAGUCAAAGAUGUUUGGUGGAUUAAUUAAAAAUCUUGAACAAUUUGGAUUUAGUUAAGUGGUUGCGAUACUGAAUUGAAUUUCACGCUAGAUUAUGAGAUUGUAUGUGGAUUUAGUUAGGUGAUUGUGUCUUGAGAAUAUUGUCAAAGAUGUUUGCUAGUCUAUGAGAUUUUAGGUUUAGUAGAUGAGAAUGGUGAUUAUUAUAUUGGUAGAUAAACAAAUCUUUAAUUUAGUUUGGAACAAUUUUGACUCAUUUAGGUGAUUUUUAUUUUUCAACCAAAUUUACGAUUGAUUUUGAGAUUUUUUUGGAUUUAGUUAGGUGACUGAUCUUGACAAGAUAGUCAAAUAUGUUUGGUGAAUUAUGUUAAUUUAGGUCUAGUAAGUGAGCAUUGUGGUAAUUAUAUUGGUGGAUAGAUGGAUCUUCCGUAAAAAUGAAGCAAUUUGGAUGUAGUUAGGCGAUUGUGAACAAAUUUCACGGUCGAUUACAAGAUUUUCAAUAAAUUCGGUUAGUAGAUUGUGAUCUUGGGGGAUGUCAAAGAUGUUCGGUGGAUUAAUUAAAUCUCGAACACUUUUGAUUUAGUUAGGUGAUUGCGAUAUUGAACCAAAUGUUUUGGUGAUUUAUGAUAUCUUAGUUGGAUUUAGUUAGAUGAUUGUGUCUUCAGAAGAUAGUCAAGGAUGUUCGGUGGAUUAUGAGAUUAGGUUUAGUAGAUGAGUAUGACAAUUAUUAUAUUGGUGGAUAAACAAAUAUUUAAUUUAGUUUGGAACAAUUUAGAUUUAGUUAGGUGAUUGUGAUAUUGAACCAAAUUUCUUUGAUUUAUGAGAUUUUAGUUGGGGUGAUUGUGUCUUGAGAAGAUAGUCAAAUAUGUUUGGUGGAUUAUGAGAUUUUGGGUCUAAUAGAUGAGCAUAGUGAUUAUUAUAUUGGUGGAUAAACAGAUAAACUGAUAUUUAAUUUGGUUGCAAUUUGGAUUUAGUUAGGUGAUUGUGAUCCUUUAACUGAAUUUUAUGGUGGAUUGUAAGGUUUUGGUUGGAUUUAUUAGGUGAUUGUGAUUUUGGCGAGCUAGUAAAAGAUUUACGGUGGAUUAUGUGAAUUUAGGUCUAGUACAUGAGCAUGUUGAUUAUUAUAUUGGUGGAUAAAUGAGUCUUUAGAAACAUGGAGCAAUUUGAUUUAGUUAGGCAAUUGUGAUCUAGUACAAAUUUCAUGGUGGAGAUUUGCAAUGGAUUUAGUUGAUUGUGAUCUUGAGGAGAUAGUCAGAGAUGUUCGGUGGAUAAAUUAAUCUUGAACAAUUUGGAUAUAGUUAGGUGAUUGUGAUAUUGAACCAAAUUUCUCUAUGAUUUAUCGGAUUUUAGUUGGAUUUAGUUAGGUAAUUGUGUCUUGAGAUGAUAAUCAAAUGUGUUUGGUGGAUUAUGAGAUUUUAGGUCUAGUGGAUGAGCAUGGUGAUUACUAUAUUGGUGGAUAAACAUAUAUUUAAUUUAGUUUGGAACAAUUUGGAUUUAGUUAGGUGGUUGUGAUCUUUUGACCAAAUUUUACUGUAGAUUACGAGGUUUUGGUUGGAUUUAGUUAGGUGAUUGGAUCUUGAUGAGCUAGUAAAAGAUGUUAGGUGGAUUAUGCGAAUUUAGUCUAGUAGGUGAGCAUGUUGGUUAUUAUAUUGGUGGAUAAAUAUUUAAUUUUGGACAAUUUGCAUUUAGUUAGGUGAUUGUGAUAUUGACCCAAAUUUCUCCGUGAUUUAUGAGAUUUUAGUUGUGUUUAUUUAGGUGAUUGUGUUUUGAGAAGAUAGUCAAAGAUGUCUGGUGGAUUAUGAGAUUUUAGGUCUAAUAGAUGCGCAUGGUGAUUAUUAUAUUGGUGGAUAAAUGAAUCUUUAAUAAAUUUGGAAUAAUUUGGAUUUAGUUAGCCGACUGUGAUCUUGAAUCAAAUUUUAUGGUGGAUUACGAGAGUUAGUUUGGCGGCACUCCGCUUCUUCCUUGAGGAGCAUGUGCAGUGCGGUGGUGCGGGGGCUCGUGCGGCCUGCGGAGGCCUCAGAAGGUGGGCGGUGACACCUGCAACUUGUGCACAAUGGCGACUCCAUGCAUCUCCUGCGCCCCGCAACCCUCUCCUUCCUGGCAUACUCCAUGCAUCUCCUGCGCCCCGCAACCCUCUCCUUCCUGGCAUAGCAGGAGCAGGAGCAAGGAUGCCGAGGCGGUUCAGUCGCGAGGAAGAGUAGGAAGAUCAGGCAGAGAGGGUUUCACACACCUCUUCUACACUGACAAGUCUUUGCUUUUCAGGAUUGCCAUGGGAGCUUUGGAUGGUGGUCUUGAUCUUCCGCACAGUGACAAGAGAUUUGCUGGCUUCAAGAAGGAUAAGAAGCAGCUGGGCGCUGAGAUUCACCUCAAAUACAUCUAUGAAGGUCAUGUUGCUGACUGCAUGAAGUCAAUAGCUGAUGAGGAACCUAAGAAGUACCAAUCUCGCUUCAGUGAGUACAUCAAGAACUGAAGAUCAAGGGUUACAGAUGCCACAAGGCUUGCCUAACAAAGGUUCCCAGAAAAAGGAAUGGUUUGACCAAAAAAGGCUUUGCUCUCCAAGUGCAUAACACUUUCCCACUCCCCAUCGAUGACGAUCUUCCUGUAUGAGCAUUUUCAUCUGUGCUCCCUAUUUUCCUUGCCCCACUAAGAAUGAAGCCAUUAACUGUUGACUGUAAUUGCGAGAAAAGGUACCAUGGGUUGAUGGUGUUGGAUCCAAUCACUAUAUGAUGUAAAUUGACUGCUAUUCCUAAGAACUGCUCCUGGACACAGUGCUCAGCGUGACUUAUGGUCAAACUGAAGGUGCUUAGCAUGGUCUGGUUUCUUUAUGGUCUACUUUACAAGAGAAAACAUUUCUCUGGAAGGAGCUGCUGACAAGGCUUAACAACAAACUGGACGGAGUUCUUCACAUGGCAAACAUAGAUGAAGGAACGUUGUAUGCCUUCACCUUCAGACCCAAGGCAAAGUGCCUCCGCCUCUGUCGAACUGCUCACUCCCUAUGAGGACACCAUCGUAAACCUUCGGUGUCACCUAUAUAUAGCUUGUGUACCAGACUUCAUGUUUAUAAUGCUCUUAGGCCUUGUACAAUGCAAGGUGCUUAGGGGAGCUGCUUAGAGAAAUAAACCAGGCUUUCCUUAAGCACCGGUGCUUAUUUGUACAGGAUAGACGCUUAACUAAGCGUCUCUCCCGUAGAAAUAGCACCGGUGCUUCAGGAAAACUUGGUUCAUUUUUUUAAGCACCUCCCUAAGCAUCUCCUAUUGUACAAGGCCUUAUACCAAAAAAAACAAAAUUCCCACCACGUCUGGGGCUGGCGCACGAUUUUUUUUUGGUGCAGGUAUUGCGAGCUAAUCCUACCCCCUCCCCGCAGUUUCUGGUAAACGUGGGCUCCAUUACCAGCAGUAUCGAGAUCGGAGGCGAGGGCCGAGCAGUUUCAGCGGCGAGCGGGCGAUUUCGCGUUGGGCGCCCUCGUCGGCAUUGGCUUUCAGCCAUGGAGGAAUCGACGCCUCGGCUUCACGGCGACACUUUACAGCGUCUCCACCGCUUUCUGCCCUGAGGUUAUUUGGCGGUGGGCAGCAGCGUGUGAAAUCUACUGCAGAGGAUUUGGGCAUUUUCCUACCGGUGGAAGACCUGCAUCCAGCCCCACAAGUCCUUUACUAGCCCUCCUUGCCGCAGUUCCAUCCUCUACCGUCAGGGCAGACCAGGCUGGUACGAGAUUCUGGCAAGGAUCUAAUUUCUCAGCCCUUUUUCAUUACGUGUGUAUUCUUCAGUAAUGCUCCCAAAUCUCUUCUCACUCCAGAAUUCCAGAUACAAUGCAUCACGUAAUUUCUUUUGUUUAGUUGCCAUUACCCAGAUAUUCAUAGAAUUCGAGUUUGAUUUAUUUGAACUGCAGAGUGUCGUACUGACGCUCACCCAUUAUUUCAGGUUAUUUCCUGUCAAUUUCUAUUGAAUAAACUAGAUGGGAAUGUGUUGUUUUGCUGA